UGGGGAAUUUUGGACAAUGGGCGCAACCCUGAUCCAGCCAUGCCGCGUGAAUGAUGAAGGCCUUCGGGUUGUAAAGUUCUUUUGGCGGGGACGAUGAUGACGGUACCCGCAGAAUAAGCCCCGGCUAACUUCGUGCCAGCAGCCGCGGUAAUACGAAGGGGGCUAGCGUUGUUCGGAAUUACUGGGCGUAAAGGGCGCGUAGGCGGUUUGGCCAGUCAGAUGUGAAAGCCCCGGGCUCAACCCGGGAACUGCGUUUGAUACUGCCAAGCUUGAAUUCGGGAGAGGUGAGUGGAAUUCCCAGUGUAGAGGUGAAAUUCGUAGAGAUUGGGAAGAGCACCGGUGGCGAAGGCGGCUCACUGGACCGACAUUGACGCUGAGGCGCGAAAGCGUGGGGAGCAAA
rnacentral:rRNA from 1 species